GAGACCCACGCCCACAGUUGCCAGCGUACUCUCUGGAGUGACGGGUACACUGUGGGGACCGCCGCUGCUAAAGCGGAGGAAGGAAUGGGCAACGGUAGGUCAGUAUGCCCCGAAUAUCCCGGGCUACACGCGAGCUACAAUGGUUGGUACAAUGGGUAUCUACCCCGAAAGGGGAUGGUAAUCUCCUAAAGCCAAUCUUAGUCCGGAUUGAGGGCUGCAACUCGCCCUCAUGAAGCUGGAAUCCGUAGUAAUCGCGUUUCAACAGAACGCGGUGAAUAC
rnacentral:rRNA from 1 species